CCUACGGGUGGCAGCAGUGAGGAAUAUUGGUCAAUGGGCGCGAGCCUGAACCAGCCAAGUCGCGUGAGGGAGGACGGCCCUACGGGUUGUAAACCUCUUUUGCCGGGGAGCAACGGGCGUCACGUGUGGCGCCACUGAGAGUACCCGGAGAAAAAGCAUCGGCUAACUCCGUGCCAGCAGCCGCGGUAAUACGGAGGAUGCGGGCGUUAUCCGGAUUUAUUGGGUUUAAAGGGUGCGUCGGCGGAUCGUUAAGUCAGCGGUAAAAUUGAGGGGCUCAACCCCUUCCCGCCAUUGAAACUGGCGCUCUUGAGUGGAAGAGAAGUAUGCGGAAUGCGUGGUGUAGCGGUGAAAUGCAUAGAUAUCACGCAGAACCCCGAUUGCGAAGGCAGCAUGCCGGCUUCCGACUGACGCUGAAGCACGAAAGCGUGGGGAUCGAACAGGAUUAGAUACCCGAGUAGUC
rnacentral:rRNA from 1 species